GUAACAGAGGGUUUGAUCGGCGGCUCGCCGUAUUGAACGCUGGCGGGAUGCUUUACACAUGCAAGUCGAACGCAGCACGGACUUCGGCCUUGGUGGCGAGUGGCGAACGGGUGAGUAAUGUAUCGGAACGUGCCUAGUAUAGCGGGGGAGAUAAUCUACGCGAAAGGGUAGCUAAUAAUGGGCGGCAUUAUCUCCUUCGGGGCGGUAGACUCCGGGCUUUGCAUGCUGGAUGCCGAGACAUCGGGAUUGAAGCCGCUUGUGGGGCAUGGCUCACCAAGGCGACGAUCCGGGAAUGGUUGAAGAUCGAGACCAGCCACACUGACUGAGACGGCCCAGACUCCUACGGAGGCAGCAGUGGGGAAUUUUGACAAUGGGGGAAACCCUGAUCCAGCCAUCCCGCGUGCGAAGGCCUUCGCUGUGAAGCACUUUUGGCAGGAGCGAAAUCCGCGGUACCUGGACAUGACCGCAAGACUGCUGACUUUGUAAGGCAAACAGCAAUACGACUGCCACGCCAGCAGCCGCGGUAAUACGCAGGGUGCAAGCGUUAACGGGAAUCAAUGAGCGCAGGAAGCGCAGGUUCGGGAAAGAAAGAUGAAAUCCGAGCUUAACUUUGAACUGCAUUUUAACCGUCAGGAGCUGAGUGUGUCAGAGGGAGGUGGAAUUCCGCGUGUAGCAGUGAAAUGCGAGAUAUGUAGGAGUGAACACCGAUACAUAUGGUAUGUUUCCAGAUGUUUUAACACUGACGCUCAUGCUGAGAAAGCGUGGGGAGCAAACAGGAUUAGAUACCCUGGUAGUCCACGCCCUAAACGAUGCCAACUAGCUGUUAGCCUGCCUGGCAGCGCAGCUAACGCGAAGUUGACCGCCUGGGGAGUACGGUCGCAAGAUUAAAAUCAAAGAAUGAUGAUGCGGAUUUUGCAAGGUGGAUGAUGUGGAUUAAUUCGAUGCAACGCGAAAACCUACCUACCCUCGACAUGUCUGAAUCCCGAAGAGAUUUGGGAGGCCGCAGAGAACCGGAACACAGGUGCUGCGGCGACGCUGUCGUCAGCUCGUGUCGUGAGAUGUUGGGUUAAGUCCCGCAACGAGCGCAACCCUUGUCAUUAGCGGUUACGAAAGGGCACUCUAAUGACUGCCAGACAAACCGAGAGUUGCGCGACACGCCCAACCAUGCUUGCGGUAGGGCUUCACACGUCAUACAAUGGUCGGGACAGAGGGUCGCCAACCCGCGAGGGGAGCCAAUCCCAGAAACCCGAUCGUAGUCCGGGAUCGCAGUCUGCAACUCGACUGCGAAGCCGGAAUCGCUAGUAAUCGCGGAUCAGAAGUCGAUAUUUCUGGUCUUGUACACACCGCCACACCGUAUAGCCUUGAAUGUAGUGGUAGUUAGCCUAACCGUAGAGGAUUACCACGGUAGGGACGAAGACUGGGUGAAGUCGUAACAAGGUA
rnacentral:rRNA from 1 species